rnacentral:sRNA from 1 species
CUCGAUUUGUGCCGUCAGUCUAACAACCUGUGCUUGCAAAGGGAAGAGGAUCUUCAGAGAACAAGAGAUUACCAUGACUGUAUGAAUGUCGUUGAAGUGUUCCUAGAAAAAUUUACUACAGAAUGGGAUAACUUGGCCAGAUCUGAUGCAGAGAGUACAGCUGUCCACCUGGAAGCUUUGAAAAAGUUAGCAUUGGCAUUGCAGGAGAGAAAGUAUGCUAUUGAAGAUCUGAAAGAUCAAAAGCAGAAAAUGAUAGAGCAUCUGAAUUUAGAUGACAAGGAGUUAGUCAAAGAACAGACGAGUCAUUUAGAGCAACGUUGGUUUCAGCUUGAGGACCUCAUUAAAAGGAAAAUCCAAGUGUCAGUCACCAACUUGGAGGAGUUAAAUGUGGUGCAGUCCAGAUUUCAGGAGCUAAUGGAGUGGGCAGAAGAGCAACAACCCAACAUCGCCGAGGCCCUUAAGCAGAGCCCUCCUCCAGAUAUGGCUCAGAACCUUCUCAUGGAUCACCUGGCCAUCUGCAGUGAACUGGAGGCCAAGCAGAUGCUCCUGAAAUCGCUUAUAAAGGACGCAGACAGGGUCAUGGCAGAUCUUGGUCUCAAUGAGCGACAGGUCAUCCAGAAGGCUCUCUCUGAUGCACAAAGCCACGUGAAUUGUCUCAGUGACUUAGUGGGCCAGCGAAGAAAGUACUUAAACAAAGCCUUGUCCGAGAAAACCCAGUUUCUCAUGGCAGUGUUCCAGGCCACCAGCCAAAUUCAGCAACAUGAGCGAAAGAUAAUGUUCCGUGAACACAUCUGUCUGUUACCAGAUGAUGUGAGCAAACAAGUCAAAACAUGUAAGAGUGCACAAGCCAGCCUCAAGACUUACCAAAAUGAAGUCACUGGACUUUGGGCCCAGGGUCGCGAACUAAUGAAGGAAGUCACAGAGCAGGAAAAGAGUGAAGUGCUGGGGAAGCUUCAGGAAUUGCAGAGUGUCUAUGACAGUGUUUUACAAAAGUGCAGUCACCGGUUACAAGAACUAGAGAAGAAUUUGGUUUCUAGGAAGCAUUUUAAGGAAGAUUUUGAUAAAGCUUGCCAUUGGCUAAAACAAGCAGAUAUUGUUACAUUUCCUGAAAUCAACCUAAUGAAUGAGAGUACUGAGCUUCAUACACAACUGGCUAAAUACCAAAACAUUCUUGAACAAUCUCCAGAAUAUGAAAAUCUUCUACUUACGCUGCAGAGAACUGGGCAGACCAUAUUACCAUCGCUGAAUGAAGUCGAUCAUUCCUACCUCAGUGAAAAGCUAAAUGCUUUGCCUCAACAAUUUAAUGUAAUUGUUGCCUUGGCUAAAGACAAGUUCUAUAAAGUCCAGGAAGCAAUUCUUGCUCGGAAGGAAUAUGCUUCCUUGAUUGAGUUGACAACCCAGUCUCUGAGUGAACUUGAAGCCCAAUUCUUGAGGAUGAGCAAAGUUCCCACUGACCUGGCCGUUGAGGAGGCUCUUUCUCUGCAAGAUGGUUGCAGAGCCAUUCUGGAUGAGGUGGCGGGCCUUGGGGAGGCGGUGGAUGAACUGAACCAGAAAAAAGAAGGUUUUCGCAGCACAGGUCAGCCUUGGCAGCCAGACAAGAUGCUGCACCUUGUCACCUUAUAUCACAGGCUGAAGCGACAAACAGAACAGAGGGUUAGCUUAUUAGAAGACACCACCAGUGCUUACCAAGAACACGAGAAGAUGUGCCAACAGCUGGAGAGACAACUGAAGUCUGUAAAAGAGGAGCAGUCCAAAGUGAAUGAGGAAACGCUGCCUGCAGAGGAGAAGCUCAAAAUGUAUCACUCCCUGGCAGGAAGUCUCCAGGACUCAGGGAUUGUACUGAAACGAGUAACCAUACAUCUUGAAGAUCUUGCCCCACACCUUGACCCCUUGGCUUAUGAGAAAGCCAGGCAUCAGAUCCAGUCCUGGCAAGAGGAGUUAAAACUGUUGACUUCUGCCAUUGGUGAGACGGUGACAGAAUGUGAGAGCCGAAUGGUGCAGAGUAUAGACUUCCAGACUGAGAUGAGUCGCUCCCUGGACUGGCUGAGGAGAGUGAAGGCAGAGCUCAGUGGGCCCGUGUACCUAGACCUCAACCUGCAGGACAUCCAAGAGGAAAUCAGAAAAAUCCAAAUUCAUCAGGAAGAGGUCCAGUCCAGCUUGAGAAUCAUGAAUGCGCUGAGUCACAAGGAAAAGGAGAAGUUCACAAAGGCCAAGGAGCUGAUUUCUGCGGAUUUAGAACACAGCCUCGCUGAGCUCUCAGAGCUGGAUGGAGACAUCCAGGAAGCCUUACGCACCAGACAGGCUACCUUGACUGAAAUAUAUAGCCAGUGUCAAAGGUAUUAUCAGGUAUUUCAAGCAGCCAAUGACUGGCUUGAGGAUGCCCAAGAAAUGUUACAGCUGGCAGGCAAUGGCCUAGACGUGGAGAGCGCAGAGGAAAAUCUCAAAAGGCACAUGGAAUUUUUCAGUACAGAGGAUCAGUUCCAUAGUAACCUGGAGGAGCUCCACAGCCUGGUAGCCACCCUGGACCCACUCAUCAAGCCAACCGGCAAAGAAGACCUAGAACAGAAAAUGGCUUCUCUGGAACUCAGGAGCCAGAGGAUGAGCCGGGACUCUGGUGCCCAAGUGGAGCUCUUGCAGAGAUGCACAGCUCAAUGGCACGAUUACCAGAAAGCAAGGGAAGAGGUUAUUGAAUUGAUGAAUGAUACAGAAAAGAAAUUGUCUGAGUUUUCUUUGUUGAAGACUUCGUCUAGUCAUGAAGCGGAAGAAAAAUUGUCAGAACACAAGGCUUUAGUGUCAGUGGUUAACUCUUUCCAUGAGAAAAUUGUGGCCCUUGAGGAAAAAGCUUCACAACUGGAGAAAACCGGAAAUGAUGCCAGCAAAGCCACCCUGAGCAGGUCAAUGACCACCGUCUGGCAGCGCUGGACACGCCUUCGAGCUGUGGCUCAGGACCAGGAGAAGAUCCUGGAAGAUGCAGUGGAUGAGUGGACGGGCUUUAACAACAAGGUUAAAAAGGCCACUGAAAUGAUUGAUCAGCUGCAAGAUAAGUUACCUGGAAGUUCAGCAGAGAAAGCAUCGAAAGCAGAACUCUUAACUCUUCUUGAAUACCACGACACGUUCGUUCUGGAGCUGGAGCAGCAGCAGUCGGCCUUGGGCAUGCUGCGGCAGCAAGCCCUGAGCAUGCUCCAGGAUGGAGCCGCCCCAACCUCUGGGGGAGAGCCUCCGCUCAUGCAGGAAAUCACCGCCAUGCAAGAUCGGUGCCUGAACAUGCAGGAGAAAGUGAAGACUAAUGGAAAGUUGGUGAAGCAAGAGCUGAAGGACCGAGAAAUGGUGGAGACUCAGAUCAAUUCUGUGAAAUGUUGGGUUCAGGAAACGAAAGAAUAUUUAGGGAAUCCAACAAUAGAAAUAGAUGCUCAACUUGAAGAACUUCAGAUUCUCCUAACAGAAGCCACAAAUCACCGACAGAACAUUGAAAAAAUGGCAGAAGAACAGAAGGAGAAGUACUUAGGUCUUUAUACCAUAUUACCUUCUGAACUCUCCCUUCAGUUGGCUGAAGUGGCGUUAGAUCUAAAGAUCCGAGAUCAGAUCCAAGACAAAAUAAAAGAAGUUGAGCAGAGCAAGGCCACGAGCCAGGAACUCAGCCGGCAAAUUCAGAAGUUAGCUAAAGACCUCACAACUAUUCUAACUAAGCUGAAAGCGAAGACAGAUAAUGUAGUUCAAGCUAAAACUGACCAAAAGGUGCUGGGAGAGGAAUUAGAUGGCUGUAAUUCAAAGUUAAUGGAAUUAGAUGCAGCAGUACAGAAAUUCUUGGAACAGAAUGGCCAACUGGGUAAGCCACUGGCCAAGAAGAUAGGAAAGCUGACUGAACUUCACCAGCAGACCAUUAGACAAGCUGAGAAUCGGCUCUCCAAGCUCAAUCAGGCAGCAUCACAUUUAGAAGAAUACAACGAAAUGCUUGAAUUAAUUUUGAAGUGGAUUGAAAAAGCUAAAGUCUUGGCUCAUGGAACUAUUGCAUGGAAUUCUGCAAGCCAGCUUCGGGAACAAUAUAUUUUGCAUCAGGUAACCUUAGGAAAAAUAAUCUUUAAAAAGUAACCAAGGGCAAUUUGAUUUAACUGGGUAGACUGACACAACACUUAGAGGGCUGUGAUGUAAAAUUUUUGGAGCUACCAGAUAAAAAGAAUGCUAAGGUACCCCUAAGUUGUUCAGUAGUUGGACAGAAAGGAGCUUCUCAUGAAGUUUCAUGAAAUUGAAUAAAUAAAUAUCCUUGAUCUUCCCUAAACCUUCCUUACACCAAGACCCAAACCAAUCAGCCUUGUAGAACUCAUUUUCUGUAGCUUCUUUGAAAUAAUUAUCUGCAGGAAUCUGGUGGGAAAUUCUUUCCUGUGAAGAGAUGCAAUGAAGUGUGGAAAGAUUCUAGACUCCACACUCAGACUGGUGGGAAAACCAAGCUCCGCCAUGCAGGGUUGUGUGAUUUGGAGCAGAAUGCUUUGCCUCUCUGAAUUCUGUCUUCUCAUCAUUUGUAUGAAGAUGUAAAUAAUAUUCGUAUUUCAGACUUAUGAGAUGAAGUGGUUUAAGGUACACACGUGCAAACGUCUGCCUGGCACAUGCAGGUGCUCAGUGGGAGAUCUCCCGCCUCCUCCCUCAGCCCUCACCCAGGCCUGUCAUCUGGCCUUCCACAGGAGGUCGGGCAGCCCAGAGCAAGCCAUGAGUCCACAUCACAUGCUGGCUAUGUUAGUUCAUUUCCUCUGAAGUUACAUGAGAAAAAUGUUCCUUUUCUGUCAGUCACGUCAUCCAGGAAAUUAUUUCAUCUUUUUGUAACUUAAGCUUAAAUUAGACACAGAUAGUUAAUAGGCUAGUUAUCAUAUAAUAAAAUAUAGGGUGACUUUUAUAGGAGUUACAUGGGUAUCGAGUAUUCUAGAAUUUUGUCUCUUAUAUUAUUUAUGUAUCCUUGUGGCCUUUAAAUGAAUCCCUGUUUCCAUUCUUGUUUACAGGGUUCUAGAUCAAAGCCUCAUUUUUCCAUUUUUGGAAUGCUUUAACAGCUUCUAAUUUUUCCCUAUAUUCACAGUCUUUCUUCUCUGAUCAAUCUUGCGUAUUCUUCCCACAAUGUCUUUCUUAAGCAACUCCAAUCUUUUGCUUUAAGAUAUGCUUAGAUAUGAACAGACAGGACUUAAGUUACCACUGAUUUGAAAACAAUGAAAAAAAGCCAACAUCCUUAGAAGUCUAGAAAUGCAAAUUUCAGCAAAAAAAGAGAGGAAGAAAGACAAACUUAACUGUCACAUUCAUACUGUUUCUUUCAAGUUCAUAUUUAAGGAAGUGAGAGCUCUCAAACAUUGCUGGUAUCCUGGUAAAAUCUCUUUGAAAAAUAAUUGGCAAAAUGUAUGGUGAUUGUCAAAAAUGUUGCUACUCUGGGCCAGGUGCGGUGGCUCACACCUGUAAUCCCAGCACUUUGGGAGGCCGAGGUGGGUGGAUCACAAGGUCAGGAGUUCAAGACCAGCUUGGCCAAUAUGGUGAAACCCCAUCUCUACUAAAAAUACAAAAGUUAGCUGGGCAUGGUGGUGGGCACCUGUAGUCCCAGCUACUCAGGAAUCUGAGGCAAGAGAAUCGCUUGAACUCGGGAGGUGGAGGUUGCAGUGAGCCAAGAUCACGCCACUGCACUCCAGCCUGGGUGACAGAGUGAGACUCCAUCUCAAAAAAAAAAAAAAAAAAAAAAAAAAAAAUUA